GCCUGUCUUUGCUUUCCAACCCCACCGAUCCUCCAGAGCAUCACGUAAGAGCACCGACCCGCCAAGGAAACUGGAACGAAGAGGAGAAGAUGUGAUACGGGAACCUCGAGCCUAAACUGAGAGCAGCCGGAUGUGGAUCCCUGUGUUCCGCAAGUGGCAGGAAUCUCCAGUCUCUCCAAGUACUCCGCCUGUCUUUGCUUUCCAACCCCACCGAUCCUCCAGAGCAUCACGUAAGAGCACCGACCCGCCAAGGAAACUGGAACGAAGAGGAGAAGAUGUGAUACGGGAACCUCGAGCCUAAACUGAGAGCAGCCGGAUGUGGAUCCCUGUGUUCCGCAAGUGGCAGGAAUCUCCAGUCUCUCCAAGUACUCCGCCUGUCUUUGCUUUCCAACCCCACCGAUCCUCCAGAGCAUCACGUAAGGAAGCUCCUCCGGGUGCUCCUGUUGCCGAGUGAGAACUGGGGAACUCUAGUUGGAGAAUGGUGUUGUCAUCCCCUUUGCUAAUAACCCACUUUAUCCGCAAGUGAAUGACUGUUUUCUUGGAGACACUUUCUUCUUGGUGAAUUUAAGAAGUGACUUGUGGCAUCCAAGACCUGAACUAGCCCCAGCGGAGAUGCACUUCUUUCUUCCGAGAACCAUUUUAAAAAUCGUUGCCAGAGAAUUUUCAUGUUAACAUCUGAUUAUUGGUAGUAACAAAAGUAUUGUUUGUUAAAUUUCAUUUAAAACUCAUUUAAUUUUUGUAAUGAGAGCUAAGCUACUGCAGGAAAUCCUCGGCACUUGGGUAGCUGUUUGGUUGUAAGUUAGUUUAUAUUAUUAUUUUCUAUUUUGAGGAAGAUUAAGGAAGUUCAUCAAAUACUAACAUUAAGUUGUUAUCAGAAUUAUUUAAGUGCCUUAUUUCUCACCAUAAACACAAAUCCCUUUAUCUAAGUAUGGUUCAUUUAAAAUAAUAUUACUUUAGCCUUACAUAUUUUUAAAGGAUAAGUGGUAAAAAGUUAACAUAUUUAAUAUAGUUAUAUAGUAAAAUCAUAUUUUAAUCUAUAUAUACUAAUAUUUUACUGUUUUGUGUUUUUUAACUUUCAUUCUUACCAGAGAGUUAUACAUUUUAAAAAUAUUUAGAAGGUAUAAAUGGAAGAAGAGGGAAGAAAAAUUAAAAAAGAACACAUAUUUCCCUUUUUAGGCAAACUUUGCACUCUGGAAAUACAAUCUUCAUAUUUCUGUCUUUAUCAGUUAUGUGAUGCCAUUGAUAAGAAGUUUUCUUAAUUGUGAACAAUCGUCCAAUGUGUUAAAGGAAAGCCCGUCAUAUUAAGACAUAAUGGUUUUUAAUAUCAAGGACACUAUGGGAAACUACUGUUAUGACAAGAUGCUGUUGACAAGAUUGUUUUCAAGUUAGCCUAGACGGAAGCUUCACUUUAAUUGCAUAUUGCAGCAGGUGGAAAGAGUAUGCCUGUGACCAAAAUAGUAACAUAAAUUUGGAGGGACUGCUUAAACAGUGUUCUCAAGGCUCCUGUGGGAACAAGACUGCUCUGUGCUGUUGAAAACCUAUUUCUCCUGUCACCCAGUCUAGCCACCUAGCAAGGGUUUGAAUGUCACAUGGUGACACAGCAUCCCAAUAGUAUCUCUUGGGAAACAUUUUUUUGUCAAGACAAUAUCAAGGGUCCAUAGAAAUUGAAACAACACAAAGGAAAAUAAAACUGAGGACGGGAGGCUAAUCCACCUCUCUGAGCAGCAGUGCCGUCUCUCAGAUACACUGAUUCAAUAGACCACAGCAAUGUCUUUCUUUGAUAUUUGCUCCACAGAGUUCCCACAUCAAGCUAUUUCACUGCACAGCUUGCUUUAUUAUUUCUUUCAAACAAAGGUCAAGAAAAUGCAUUACAAGGCAGUUUCUCUUUAAACAAAAUCAGAAGUGUUAUAUAUUAAUUUUUAAAAUACCUGAUCUUAGGAACAGUGUACACAAGCAGAAAGCCCGACUCUUACUUCUUUCCUUCAGUCCCCUAGAGUGUACGGUAUGUUCUUUGUGCCUCUGUUAGGGUGCCAGUACAUACCUUUUGCUUUUGAAAGAUAUCUACUGAAGAUUUCCCUGUUGCAUUUGCCAGUUAUCUCUUGUGCUAUUUUUUUGUGCCUACCAACAUUAUAAAAAUUGUUAAUCUUAUAAUAGGAUGACGAUGGCACCUCAGUCUUUUAUAAGAUUGAUAAUAUUGUUCUAGACUUAGAAAUAUAGCCAUACUAUGACUUCAUCCUAUUUUUUAAAGAACAAAUGAAAUUGAACUUUGAUUAUAUUAUACCUGGCAAGUAUGACUAUGUUUUUUUUCUUUCCUGGGGUACUUAGCAAUAGUUUUUAUCUUAGUAAUUUGUUUUGUUAAAUUCUUAAGUAUAUCUUUUUCAUUUUCUCAGAAUGUGUUGAACUUUAUAAAUAUUCACAAAUAUAAAAAGAAUAGAAUUAUGAACUUCAGUAUACCAACCAUAUUGAUUCAUAAAGUAUGCUUUAUCUUUCCCUUUUACUUUUAUUUUCUUGCUGAAGUGCUUUAAAGCAAAUCCCAGAUACUAUGUCAGUUCAUCCCUAUGUAGAUUUUUCUUUUUUAAAUAACCACAGUGUCAUUUUUAUACCUGGCAAAUUUAACAAUUUCUUGAUGAUAAAAUACCAGGCCACAUGCAGAUUUUGCCAGUUGUGUUAGAAGUGCCUUCUACUGUUAGCUUGUUUGAAUCAAAAUUCACACAUUUGGUUGUUGGAAGUAAUUUGCUUUCAUUGAUCAGAUUUUAAAAUCCUUAUUACCCAUGUGUUGAGAAGGUCGAAUCUUACUUCAAAACCGAACCAACAAAAACUACUUUUCCUGCUUCCUUGAAAGACAAAGCAAAAUGUGCUGUAAGAACUAUUAUAAAUGAAAUACAUAACAGAGCACCUGAUGAAAAACUUUCUGCUUCAAAUAGAAAAAUUCCUUCUCAAACAUUGCUACUCCAAUACCCUAUAUUAGUUUUUGGUAAGAUUUAAUGAAGAUGGUCUGAUGUAGCUUGUAUAAAAUAGGAUCCUUUAAAAAGUGUCUUUAAUACCAAUUUAGAGCCAUACAGAUAGAUUUUAUUGUAAGAAAGCAUGAAGUGGCUAAAAUGUCAAACAUUAUAGUUGAACAUUCCUGGUUUCUGAGCUGUCUUCCUAACCUUGCCUGGACCUAAAAAAAUUGAUACCUCUCAUGGUUUCUCUGUCUGUGGCUUUUGAUAUUUUUUUAUCUCUAAUUAAAGUAAGAAAUAUAUUUUUUAAUCAGGAUCUGAUAAUACACACACAAACACACCUCAACUAAAAGUUUCUUGAAGCUGUACCCUGUAAAUAGCACGGUGAUAUUUUCUAUUCUAUUGUAUUUAUUUAUAUGUAUUCUUUUUUAAUUGUAGGCUAUACUCACUGAGUUGAUUUUAUGAAUUGGUUGGAAAACAUGGACAUAGUGGUUAGAAUCAUAUUUUUAGCAUCUAAGGGACCUGGAUUCAAAUACCACGUCUGCCAGUUACUAGCAGCACCUCCAUGGAUCUCAGUUUAAAUAUGCUUCUCAUGCAGGUUUUCUGGACAUAAGUUAUUUGUGCUAAGGGAAGUAUGAUUAUCCUCAAACUUCUACCAGUAUAAUUAAUAUAACUAAUGAGUCACUCCUUAGAUUGAUACAUACAUCACCCCACAUCAGUGUUUUUCCUCUCUUAGACUAGCACUGCUCUGCCGUUGCUAGGAGAGGUUACCUGAGCUGUCCAGAGAUGCAGAACUUCUCUGUGUCCACUAUUUUUUUUUUUUGGUAUCAUUAAUCUAGUCUUUAUCCAGUAAUACUGACAAUAAUGGCUCAUUGCCAAAGGGUGUGUAAGCUUUAGCCUCGGCAGUAGGCCAAUUACAUCAUCAGGUAGUUUAGGGUCAGGUGAAGAUCCUGGCUGUAGCAACUUCCAUUUUCCCUACAGGCACCCACCUGGGCAGUGUGCCAGGAGGGUUUGAGGGACAGCAGGAAGGCCAGUGUGAAGCCAGCAAAGGGGAAGAUAAUAGAAAAUGUCAGGAUAAUGGAAGCAGGGACACAGUCUGUUGUUAAAAACAAGACAACAUGCCCCAAAUGGAUCUGCUUACCCAAAACGGAGCCGCGUAUCACUGAAUCAAGACUUAAUUACAGUUUGGCUCUCAGAGCUGGAAUCCUAGAGUAGUCACUCAGAAAACACCAGCUCUAGCUCAGGGACCUGCCUGACAGACGCUGGCCAACUCCUACAGGAAAGUGACCGUGCAGUAACCAGUCCUUUUUUUGUUUUCCAGUGUGACUUCCUUGUUCCUGAGCCCUUCAGCUUAUGAAAACCUUUCACUCUGUGCAGCUCUUUAAAGCUACUUUCCACCUGCUAGAUGCGAUGCUGCCCAAUUUGUGAGUCAUUGAAAACAGCCAGUAAGAUCUUUAAAAUUUACUCUAGUGGAAUUUUCUUUUUGAACACUAUGGAGGGUUUUCUGGCUCUUACUCUAAGAUAGAAAUGGAACACUUACUUAUGUUCCAGGCAUUGAAUGGGUGCUUUCUUAUGAAAAUGUUUCCUACUGCUACCAAACAGAUAAAAAGUAGCUCCUUUUCAGAAGAAGCAAGUGGAGCUGAGAAUUAAAUGUUAGCCCCAGAUCGUACUGCUACAAAACGGAAGAACCAAAGAAUGGAGGCCAGAGUCCAUGAAGGGCAGAGCUUGAAUGCAUGCGUCCUGGAGGGCAGGUAAGAAUCAGGAGCCUUGGGUAGAGUGUAACCCACUGAGUCACAAGGCUGCCGAAAAGCCAUCCUGUUGUGAAACACUGUCAUAAAGUGUUGCCAUGGAAUAGUUACAUCUCUCUUAGACCCCAAGUUUCACAUGCUCUGAAGCAGUUUAAAUUAUUCAUAGGUUCCAAAACAGGUAUGUAUGUGAAUCACUUAGGGAAUUCUUUUGAAAAUUCUGAUUUCAGAGCCCUGCCACAGAUAACUGAAUCAGGAAAUUACAGUCCCCCAAACUUUCUGAUGAUGGAACUAGUUUUUCUUGUAACACUUCAUAGAUAAAAGCAUAAAGGAGAAGCCAUUUCGGAAAUGUAAGCACAAUACAAAUCUUCUUGUGGUAUACAGACUUAGAUGCCAACCAAUUAAAGGAAAUAAAUAAAAAUAAAAGCCUUUAGUUUGGCCUGGUUUGUUGUUGACUUAACGGAUUUAUUUCUUUAUCCAGUUAGGUUUACAUUCCUGAAUCAUAGCUAUGCAGUGUCCAGUGUGCUUGUCUAACAUGUUUUUGAAAUAACCUUUGAUCAAUGUGACAUUUUAACCUAUUAAAAACAAAUAUGUGAAGCCAAGAAAUACAAUGGGUUUAAACUACUAGAAAGCUUUCAUUACUUUGCCUGUAAUUUCACCAUAGUUAUAAACAGAGAAGUAAAUUCUGCUUUUUCAAUAAUUGAUAGAAUAAUUUCCCAAGGACAACCAGGAUCAGCAAUUAUUCUAAAAAUCCCGACUGAUGUACCUCUUUAUGUUUCUUAACCAAAAAUGUUUUGUCUUUUACGCUGAUAACGAUAUGGCUUUGCCUUCUGGAUUACUGAAAUAGUGUCUGCUUCCAGUGGAAUUAUUUGCUUAUGCCAUAGGUGACCUGUCAUUAUUGUUCAAACAGUAGGAGGUGGAAGCCAGAGCUUUGAUGGUUCACACUGUGGAGGAACCUGGAGAUGUAUGUGCCCUGAAAUUGUCAUGACCCUCAUGCCUCUCCCAACCCCAUCCUGCUGCUCAGUGGCCCUUCAGCAAAUGAGCAACAGUCUCUAAGACAGUCCCCACCAAUCCACUAUGGGAGAAUAUUGGGGGCUUUUUAUUUAUUUUCUGUCUUAAAUAUUUGUUGCUGUAAGAUCACAUUGUGCUGCUUGACACAGAGCAAACAUUCACAAUCCCUGCUGAUGAAAGAUCAAUGAAUAUUGUUUUCAAAAUCAAUUCCAGAUAACAUCUCCCACUUAAAAUUUAAAAAACAAUAAUGUAUCUUAAUCAGAAAUGAUUAAAAUCAAAGUGACACUUUUCUACUAAGCUGAAGGAAUUUUAGCUUAUAAAAACUAUUUCAGUAAAAGAGUUAUAGAAGUCACAGUUCAGAGUCUGAAAAUAAACAGCAGUCUACCAAGAGUCUUAAGUGUGCCUGAUACAGAUUUGUAAUACUCACAAAGUACAGUUCUCCUUCUUUGCAGUUAGGCAGGACCUGUGCCACAUUCUGGUUGAGACUGGUGGAUUGAGAGCGGACACAUUUAACUGUCCAGGAAAGUCCUCCCGCAUUCUCUCCCCUGAUGCAGCAGUCAGAGCAGGUAGAGGUGAUGGAGUCCUGAGAUUGAAAUAGAUGAGUUCUUGGGUGACCAUAUGGAGGACAAUUGUACAAUAGCCCUGAAAAAGCAAUCAGAGUUUCAACAGAUUUUGCACAAAUGAAAAAUAACACUUUUGUUAAUUAAGCCACUGAGAUUUAGCUGCUAUUUGUUUUUGUACCAUAACCUAGCCUAGCCUGACUAAUACAGUAUGGACUGCAGGAAUAUGCUUAAUAAUGCCAGCAGUUUAACAUCACAAUAACCUCGUUAUAGAGGAUUCACCAACAAACCCUCUGUCCACUUAGGCCCUACUCACCGCCACCCCUUUUUUUUCCGAUAUCUGUGUAUGUGGCCUAACAUUUACAGUGUGCUUUUUUCAUUGUCAUCUCUAAACAGGUUCAACCUACACGUAUUAGGGUUACAAAAAUGUUCAAUCUUUCUGGUCCCUUACUCCUUGAUCCACUAUAUCAUUACCAAUCUCACAAAACCAGUCAUUGAUAAAACUGCGAGAGGAGCCGCAUUUCUCAGGGGCCAUGCUCACUGCUCCGGGUGUAGACCAGGCUGUCUCCUCACAGUUACAUGAGGUACAAAAGAACAUUUUCCUGGACACAUGUUUUUAAAAAGCAUUCAAAGGCAAUAACUAAAAAUCAUAAAAAUCUACCUAUCAUAGCUAGACAGUAGUUCAAAAUACACGCUUAUAUUACAUAUGAAAAAUUUUUUAAAUUAUAUACUAAAAACAAAUCAAGUUCACAUAAUCAAAUCAAGUUUACUGACAUUUCUUCUCCCUUUAAUGCCUUAGCUCUUCAAUCAAGUCUCCUGUCAGCAAAAGUUGUAUCUUCUUGUUCAUAAACUGGUUGGUAAGCUUUAAGCAAUUUGGGGAAAUUAAUUAAAUCAAUGGAAUGGAAAUUUUUCUCUUUAGGUGUUACUUAUUAAAUAUUGUAAAAAAAAUUUUCUAGUCAAAGUCUUUAGCUAGAAACAUGAAACAGUUACAAAGAAAUAACCACUUUAUAUGUAUUCUUACCUCCUGCAGGUGUUAUAUUUUGUUUUUCUAGGUUUCUUUUGAGGAAUUUCCCAUCAUCCGAAGAACCCAUUUAAUAAUGAAUAUAACCUUCAGAGACUUCACCCAGUUGAUCACCAGAAACUAAUUUAUAAGAAAAAGUAACCGCCUAAGGGAAGGAUGUUACUUUGAAUUUUGAAUGUGUUGGUUUUAAAUUACCCCAGCUUCAGCUUGUGCACUCUUUUAAAAAAUGUAGCUGAUUUUAGUGAAUUAUUCCUGAAAUGGCUGCAGCAGAAGAGUGCUUCACCCGACCUCUAUGGUCCAGAUAAAUGCCCUUGUGAUUACCUACUGAUAUAUAAAUGGGCUACUUCUCUCCACCCCUUGGAAACACCUAUUGAUAUGGAGAUGCAUGAAAGCCAGGGCAUCAUGAAGUCAUCAAAGUCCACAUCGUACGAGAACCGCUCCCGCCGCAGCUCCCUUUUUCUGAUCAGCUCUGUUGUCGUGGCUUCUGGAGUCCAGAGCUUAAACAAUGCAGAGGAGGUGACAUCAGCGGUGACCUGGACAUCACUACUGCUGAUGCCCUUUGUCUGCCAAGAAUCUCCAGGGACCCUUCUGUUACCUAAAGGAAACAUCCAGCCUAGAAAAGCACUUGGGCUUCCCGGCUAAUUAUCAAAGUCUUGGUAUCUCAGUAAUCCCUGUGGGCAACUAUCUUAACCUUCUGCUGCUGAAAUUUAGCACCAAUGUCAAGUAGAUAUUUUACAGUAUCAAGUCUACAGCUCUCAAUGGCUCUACUUAAAGGAGUUGAGUUGUUGAUUGACAGUGCAUCUAUCAUGGCUCCAGAUUUAACAAGAAGCUCAACAAUAUCUUGUUGUCCUGCAUGGCAUGCAAAAUGAAGAGGAGUCCACAGAAAAUUAUCUGUUGCGUUCACGUUAGCCCUAUAAAAUGAGGUAGAAGCACAAGAUAAAAAUAUGGGUUGUCCCAAGCAUCAGAAGCUAAAAUUGCAAAGUAAGAUUUUAUAUGUUUUAGAGAGGUUUUCAUCUAUAAACCAGGGAAGCUCUGAGUAAAAAACUGGGCCAUAAUUUUUCUUGACUCGUGUUCUGCAUUAUCUGACAGCUUUAACUUUCUUUAUGUAUAUGUAUUCUUUUAGUUUUAAAAGGCCCUUCAAUCCUAGGGGUUGCAAUUUUUGCAAAGGCUAAGGCCAAGGAAAAGUAUAAAAUUGCAUCGAAGGAAGAUAAAAACUGACAGGAAAUAUAAAUGUUACAUUAUUCCAUUUUGUAUCUAUUUUCUCUGUAUGUUAUGAAUUUUAAAUGCACUUUCAUUAUUAAAAUUCUAGGCAGUAUAAUGCAUUAUUUAAAAUUUUAAUCCUUUUUAAAAAUUCACCACCCCAAAGUUCAAAUUCUCAUUACUUUAUACUCCCUCUUCAUAAUAUACAAAUUUGAAUCCUUUUUUGAUAUUAAACAAACAUGGCAGUAAUAACAAUACCCUUUAUAUCAAGUAUGCAAUUACUGUGCUAGCAUGUGCUCUAUGUAUUUUAACUCAUUUAAUCUUCAACAAAUUCUGUGAGCUGAGCGCCAUAUAAAUGUGAGAAGACUGAGGUACAAAAAGGUUAAGAAACUUACCAGGUUAUUCAGCUAUGGUAGAAAAAGGAAUUAAACCUGAGCACCUGCUUUAGAUUAAAAAGUUAAAUCAAAAUGUCAUGCUUUGGUAUUUUAAAGAUAUUUUUACAAAUGAACCAAGGAAAAGACUGCUCCCUCUGAAAGAAGUAAUGAAACGCUGAAUGUUCUUGGUCUAAUUUAUGGCCACCACCCUGCUUAUUUGAAUUUUUUGGGGCACACAAAAGAGGCAGAUGAAAAAGCAACUCAAUGUUAAAUGAAUAUGUUCUAGAGACCUGCUGUAUAAUAUUGUGAAUAAUAUUAAUAUUAUUAAUAUUGUUAGUUAAUACUGAACUGUAUAUGCAAAUUUGUUAAGAGGGUAGAGGUUAUCAUUCUCACUACAAAAAUAAGAUUUUUUUAAUUUAAAAUAAAAGAAAAAGUGACUCCACAUCAUUUAGGUAGAGCGUGAGACCAAAUUAAAUUGUCUCGGGAGGCUAGAGAUACCCAUUCAGAAGGCUUCUUCUACCCCCAGAGUGAAAACUUCUUGGCCUUCACUUUGUGCACAGUAGUUAUUGAAGAACUAUCUUUGUGUACACGCCACUUCUAUAUUCCCAUUAGCCUGGGUACCCACGUAUCAGCUGUCUGUGACCUGGACUUUAGGAAUGAAGCGCUUUCUGCUACUAGGAGAGUUCUGCAGAUGAAUGUAUCUAAACCUUCCUUUCCCUUCUUUGCAAUGUGAAGACAUGAAAAUUUAAGCUUCUGUCAACCAGAAAACAUACCCUUUUUCAAGAAGAAACUUGACUGCUUCUAUGUUUCCACUUGCACAUGCCGUCAUUAGCGGUGUUUUGUAGUAAUUAUCCUGUAUAUCCACAGGCAUUCCUGACUCAAAUGCCUUUUUCAGAGAAGCCAGGUCUCCCGCCUUGGUGAUGAAAUUAAUGUUUGAAAAUACCUUCCCUGGAUCAUCAGUGUACCAAGCCGAGUCAUCCUGAAUGGGAUGUUCUGGUGGAUGGUCUCUGUUAAACCGACUGCAGUCAGUUACGUUCUGGCCUAUAGGAUCCCAAGACAAAAGACUUGCUUAAGUAUUUGGUUCCUUUGAAGAAAUCGUUAAUGUUGACCCCAGCUCCCAGGAUUUUUUCAUGAAGUUGAGCGACCGCAGCCAGCUGUUCUGAGGUCACAAACUCUUGCCUCUCCUCCAGGGUCAUCA